rnacentral:lncRNA from 1 species
UUGCUCCCCUUCCUGGAAACCAUAUUUUUCUAUUUCAGGUAACAUUAUGGAAACAUAUCCUGAAUUGCUAUGCCCCUCCCUCAUCCAUGGCUUUUCUUUUUCUUCUGUCCAAACAAUUUGAAGUUUCCUUUGACUUAGAACUUUUGGAUUUUGGCUAUAGCAUUCCUGGGAGUUUUAUUUUGGAUUUUCUUUCCGGAGGUGAGUAGUAGAUUCUUUCUAUGUACAUUUUGCCUGUCUAUUUUCAUUGUAUCCUAAGGGAUUGGGG